AUGUCGUUCCUGGUCAGUGGCACCGACGGGAGGAUGCUGAUGGUACGGUACUGGAGUGGCGUGGAGCGCUUCGGCGACAUUGGGGCUUACAACCAAAAUGAGCUAUUCACGGCGCGCGGCAUCACCAGCCGCAUUGAGGUGUUGGAGGUGGACAUCGCCGGAAAGAGGCUGGUUCCCAUGAGGAGCCUUGGCCGGCAUGCAGUGUUUAUUGGCCUGACGCACUGCUUGCACAUCUCUACCGAGACAUUCCCCUCCAUUUCUGCCGACACAAUAUACCUCGGCUGCUAUCAUCAGCAAAACCGCGGGUUUGGCAUCUAUCAUAUCAACAACAAGAACCACCGGAGGACCGAGCCUAAUGACAAGUUCAUCUUUGAUAUAACCCGGUAUUUAUAUCAACCAGCUGCCAGACCCUACAACCUUGAUGAGUAUCUAGUAUUCUAUGUGGACCGUAGACACCGCUAUAGUAAGGCAUGUAUCAAUCAUACAAGCUGUCUCUUUUACUCUUGUGAGGAGCCUCUCUAG
rnacentral:rRNA from 1 species